rnacentral:rRNA from 1 species
UAAUGCCUAGGAAUCUGCCUGGUAGUGGGGGACAACGUUUCGAAAGGAACGCUAAUACCGCAUACGUCCUACGGGAGAAAGCAGGGGACCUUCGGGCCUUGCGCUAUCAGAUGAGCCUAGGUCGGAUUAGCUAGUUGGUGAGGUAAUGGCUCACCAAGGCGACGAUCCGUAACUGGUCUGAGAGGAUGAUCAGUCACACUGGAACUGAGACACGGUCCAGACUCCUACGGGAGGCAGCAGC